GACAGAGGUCCCGAGCGUUAGGCGGAAUCACUGGGCUUAAAGCGUGUGUAGGCGGCGGCCUAAGUCCCUUGUGAAAUCCCACGGCUCACCCGUGGAACUGCUCGGUAUACUGGGUCGCUUGAGCCACUUAGGGGCUACCGGAACAAAUGGUGGAGCGGUGAAAUGCGUAGAUAUCAGUUGGAACGCCAAUGGUGAAAACAGGUAGCUGGGAGUGUGCUGACGCUGAGACACGAAAGCCAGGGGAGCAAACGGG
rnacentral:rRNA from 1 species